rnacentral:rRNA from 1 species
AUACGUAGGGGGCGAGCGUUGUCCGGAAUUACUGGGCGUAAAGGGCGCGCAGGCGGCUUGGCUAGUCAGAAGUGAAAGUUUGCAGCUUAACUGUAAAAGUGCUUUUGAUACUGCCUGGCUUGAGGCUCGGAGGGGUAAGCGGAAUUCCUUGUGUAGCGGUAAAAUGCGUAGAGAUUAGGAAGAACACCGGCGGCGAAGGCGGCUUACCGGACGAGUACUGACGCUCAGGCACGAAAGCGUGGGAAGCAAACAGGAUUAGAUACCCUGGUAGUCCACGCCGUAAACGAUGAAUGCUAGCUGUUGGGGCAGCUCAGUAGCGCAGUUAACACAUUAAGUAUUCCGCCUGGGGAGUACGCCCGCAAGUGUAAAACUUAAAGGAAUUGACGGGG